UUGAUUUUGAAAAAUAAAAUAUUGCAGUGGGCCAUUGCCACCUGGUAUACAGGGAGGCGGGAGGGAAAAUUUUUUUGACACGCUAGCUGCUGUAGUCGACUUGUUACCCCGUCGCCCGUCGAUCGUUCCCUCCACUCACUCCGUUGGCCUCUCCACUCCGCGUCAUCACUUUAGGUCGACGGUCUACCUCUCUCAGUUAAUGGUCGUCGGUUGUCGACUGCUGACCAAUUAACUAUCCCCUCUCUCCGUCUUUCAAAUCUUUGUUCUAAGGUAAUUUAUUUCUAGAGUUCCGAAUCUAGAAAUCUUUGCACAUCAUACUUUGUCAGUAUCUUCAUUGUUUUCUAAAAGGGAAUAGUACUGGAAGGAUUUUUUUUUCCCUUGGAAAGUAUUAGUUGUUUUCUAUGAGGAUUGCUUUUGUAACUAUAAAUUUGGACUCAUGGGUAAUAGUUUUGCUGAAAGCAUACUGUUGAUUUUAGCAUAUAUUGUUGAAUGGUUAUUAUUUGGAGCCUUCCCUUUGUGCUUAUAAUGGUGGGAUGAUUACAAUAAAUUAAUUUCGAUUUUUUCAGUCAGUCGGUCGAACCGACUGUCAUUAACUCAAUUUUGGCCUAAGGUCGGUUCAAUUUUGGUUUCAUAAAAGGGAAAAUCGGUUUAGUCGACGAUCGAUUGCUCACCCUUACACUAAAGCUCAAGACUUCACCCUAGUGUUAGGGCUAAAAUAAACUGCAGAUUUAACCAUGUUAAUCUUUUGUCUAAAGCUCUUUUCAAAUGUCUCCAAAAUGCACUUAACGGUUUUGGCCUCCCAUUUUUAUUGUGGAUAAAUAGCAAGCUAUCGUCCGCAAAGAAGAGAUGCAUGGUUCACCUUCCAACCGUUUUGGCUCACUCUAACCUUUGAUCUCUCCCUCCACUUGUGCCCUAGCAAGCAAAGCUGAGAGACCCUGCAUGAGAAAAGAAACAAAAAAAGGUGACAGAGGUCACACUACCUCAAACCCUUCGCAUGUCAUAGAAAAUUCCACUUGAAUUUGUAUAGUUACAUAGUUAUUUUUGAUAAUUUAUGGGAUAAAUUUUAAAAUUAUAUAUGAAUUUUAGUUUAAUAUGUAAUUUUAUACAUAAAAUUUUGAUUUGAUCUAAUUCUCACAAAUUAUUAAUACAGUUAUU
rnacentral:lncRNA from 1 species